rnacentral:lncRNA from 12 species
AUGUGUAAACCCUUAUUUUGUAAUAAUUUACUGACCAAAUGUACUGCCUCUGUUCCGGUAGUUCCUUCUCAUCCUCUGGCCAGAGUUGGUAUUUGUGCAGAACCGCGGCCAGGCUCCAGGGGCCAGGGGCAAGCCAGCCUCCCCGGGGCCCCAUGGGGCCUCCUGCACAGCCCCCCUUUCAGCCCGGGCCACCCCUGGGGCUGCUCCCCUGCUUCUGCGCUGUGUCCCCGUUGCUGCUGCCAAUUUGGGCCAAUGUGCUGGCCAAACAGCCUCCAUCAGCAGAAGCUAUCAGGUGGAGAAGGUUCACUCCCUGUUCUUCACGUACCCAAGCUGAGGAGUGUAGUGUUCUUGGCCUGUGCUCCUGGGACAACCCUCCCUGGGGUCGCUGAGGUAGGGAGAAGCUCUUGUUUUGUGCUUGAUCACAUUGUCCAUCUGGGGCAUGGAUUGUAUGUCUCCCAUGAAAAAACACGCGCACUCCUGCUCAGCACCCGUGAUCCAGGGCUGCUCUAGAAGAAUGCAUGCACAUGUGCGUGCAGAGGCAAGUGCACGGAUGUCCCCUGGAGUGACGCUUGGACAGAAAAGGAGGUGGAACAAGCUGUCCCUCAGUAGGGAAAUGGCUGAAUAAACUAUGAUUUUUCAUAUGGUGGAAUAAUCUG